rnacentral:rRNA from 1 species
AUUGAACGCUGGCGGCAUGCCUUACACAUGCAAGUCGAACGGCAGCACGGGUGCUUGCACCUGGUGGCGAGUGGCGAACGGGUGAGUAAUACAUCGGAACGUACCUUAUCGUGGGGGAUAACGCAGCGAAAGCUGUUCUAAUACCGCAUACGCCCUGAGGGGGAACGCGGGGGAUCGAAAGACCUCUCGCGAUUAGAGAGGCCGAUGCCUGAUUAGCUUGUUGGUGGGGUAAAAGCCCACCAAGGGGACGAUCAGUAGCUGGUCUGAGAGGACGAUCAGCCACACUGGGACUGAGAUACGGCCCAGACUCCUACGGGAGGCAGCAGUGGGGAAUUUUGGACAAUGGGGGCAACCCUGAUCCAGCAAUGCCGCGUGAGUGAAGAAGGCCUUCGGGUUGUAAAGCUCUUUUGUCAGGGAAGAAACACCGGCUCUAACACAGUCCGGGAAUGACGGUACCUGAAGAAUAAGCACCGGCUAACUACGUGCCAGCAGCCGCAGUAA